rnacentral:rRNA from 1 species
GACGAACGCUGGCGGCGUGCUUAACACAUGCAAGUCGAACGGAAAGGCCCUGCUUUUGUGGGGUGCUCGAGUGGCGAACGGGUGAGUAACACGUGAGUAACCUGCCCUUGACUUUGGGAUAACUUCAGGAAACUGGGGCUAAUACCGGAUAGGAGCUCCUGCUGCAUGGUGGGGGUUGGAAAGUUUCGGCGGUUGGGGAUGGACUCGCGGUUGAUCAGCUUGUGGGUGGGGUGGUGGCUUACCAAGGCUUUGACGGGUAGCCGGCCUGCGAGGGUGAACGGCGACAUUGGGACUGAGGUACGGCCCAGACUCCAACGGGAGGCAGCAGUGGGGAAUAUUGCACAAUGGGCGGAAGCCUGAUGCAGCGACGCCGCGUGCGGGAUGACGGCCUUCGGGUUGUAAACCGCUUUCGCCUGUGACGAAGCGUGAGUGACGGUAAUGGGUAAAGAAGCACCGGCUAACUACGUG